CUUGGGUGUCACCCAAAGUUUUAUCCCUGAUCUACUUUGAGUUUAUCUUAAUCUAAUAAGGUUCUUUCUCCCUCCUCUACGUGGUACUUUUUUCCCUCUGGGUUUUCUCUGUGUGCCUUGGAUGUUUUCAUUUUUUUCCAAAUGAGCUUGUCUAACCCCAUUAAAAAGUGCAUUGGUAUUUUUACUGACAUUGCAUUAAAUGUGUGAAUUAACUCACAGAAAAAUGGCAUUUUUAUGAUGUCGUAUUAUCCUCUCCGGGAACGAGGACUAUCUAUUUGUUCAAGCCGACUUUGGGGUUUUCCAGGAGUUUUACACAUCUCUUUAGUUUACUCCUGAGCAUUUAUCUUCUCUGUCGCUCUUACUGAUGGGGUGUCCUCUACUUAUGUUCUCUAACUGCUUAUUGUUUGUGUGUCUGGAGGCUGGAGAUGGCGCGGUGUGUUUGUGUGCUCCUGGCAGUUUGCCAGGUUUCUUGAAUCUGUAAAUUUAUGUAUUUCAUCAAACUGAGGGGAUUUUCAGGCAUUUUCUUUUCAAGUACAUUCUCUGCCUCAUUCUCUCUCUGCUCUCCUUCUGGAACACCAGUCACUCAUGAGAUAGA